rnacentral:lncRNA from 1 species
CUUCUCUCUACCUACCUAUCUAUCAAACCACCUUUUGACUAAAAGAGCUUCUUCACCCACAAACUGGAGCUGGGUAUCACUUGUUCUAAUCUGUAAUCCAUUUUCCUCCUCCCCCCUCUUUUUCUUCCUUCACUGCUUUUGAUGGGUAUUAAUUUGCCCCAAAUUACUCAACUUUUUAUGAAACGGGUUCCUCUUUUCCCAUGAUUUAAGCCUCCGUGGGUGUGUGGGUAAAGUAAAGAUUUUGUCUUUUUUUCUUCCCCUAAUUCUUCCUUCCCUUGCCCCCGACCUUUUUGCUCUUUUUCUGGAGAUGGGUUUGGGUUCUGAUUCUUCCAAA